rnacentral:rRNA from 1 species
UACGAAGGGGGCUAGCGUUGCUCGGAAUCACUGGGCGUAAAGGGUGCGUAGGCGGGUCUUUAAGUCAGGGGUGAAAUCCUGGAGCUCAACUCCAGAACUGCCUUCGAUACUGGGAGUCUCGAGUCCGAGAGAGGUGAGUGGAACUGCGAGUGUAGAGGUGAAAUUCGUAGAUAUUCGCAAGAACACCAGUGGCGAAGGCGGCUCACUGGCUCGGUACUGACGCUGAGACGCGAAAGCGCGGGGAGCGAACGGG